rnacentral:rRNA from 1 species
UACAGAGGGUGCGAGCGUUGUCCGGAAUCACUGGGCGUAAAGGGCGCGUAGGCGGCUUGAUAAGCGUGCGGUGAAAGCCCGGGGCUCAACCCCGGGUCGGCCGUGCGAACUGUCGAGCUGGAGCACUGUAGAGGCAGGUGGAAUUCCGGGUGUAGCGGUGAAAUGCGUAGAUAUCCGGAGGAACACCGGUGGCGAAGGCGGCUUCCUGGACCGACACUGACGCUGAGGCGCGAAAGCUAGGGGAGCAAACGGG